rnacentral:misc_RNA from 1 species
AACUUUCGACAAUGGAUCACUAGGCUCUCGCAACGAUGAAGAACGCAGCGAAUUGCGAUAAGUAAUGUGAAUUGCAGAAUUCCGUGAAUCAUUAAAUCUUUGAACGCACAUUGCGCCCUUUGGUAUUCCUCAGGGCAUGCCUGUUCGAGAAUCAGUUUAAUCAUCAAAUCUAUAAUGUAAAAGUUAUAGCUUUGGACUUGAGACUUCUGGAAACAGAGACUCUAAUAACAUUUGUUGCCUAGUUUCGAUGAGACUAUAUGAAAGGCAUGACCAUUGAACGAAAGUUCUUGUAUUGCUGCUAGUAUCUUUGAAUCGGCUCUGGAAAACAUUAAAUAUCACGAAGCUAACGCUUUAAGACUUGAUCUCGAAUCAGACAAGACUACCCGCUGAACUUAAGCAUAUCAAUAAGCGGAGGCU